ACUAUUUUGGCAGAUAAGUGCGGUAGAUUUAGAAUCUUUUUAUGUGAAUUUAAUUUUUCAAAUAGUA
rnacentral:tRNA from 1 species